ACCGGAUUUGUAAUCACAUAAGCAACACGACGGGUGCCACAUGUGGAGCAGGAUCUGCUUACCCUUCCGGAGCACCUGAGAUCACCCCUAGUUUUUGGUGGGGUUCGUGUUGUUUAUUCUUUAGUUUUCUAUGUUGUGUCGUGUGUGCUAUUGUUUUUCUGUUUGUCUUUUUCAUUUUUAGCCAUGGCGUUGUCGGUUUGUUUUAGAUUUAUGAGUUUGACUGUCCCUUUGGUAUCUUUCGUCCCUCUUUUGUC
rnacentral:lncRNA from 1 species